rnacentral:rRNA from 1 species
GUUUGAUCCUGGCUCAGAACGAACGCUGGCGGCAGGCCUAACACAUGCAAGUCGAGCGCGCCCUUCGGGGUGAGCGGCGGACGGGGUUAGUAACGCGUGGGAAUAUACCCGACACUAAGGAAUAGCCUCUGGAAACGGAGAGUAAUACCUUAUACGCCCUUCGGGGGAAAGAUUUAUCGUGACGGAUUAGCCCGCGUUAGAUAGAUAGUUCGGUCGGGGUAAUGGCCUACCAAGUCUACGAUCUAUAGCUGGUUUUAGAGGAUGAUCAGCAACACUGGGACUGAGACACGGCCCAGACUCCUACGGGAGGCAGCAGUGGGGAAUCUUGGACAAUGGGCGCAAGCCUGAUCCAGCCAUGCCGCGUGAGUGAUGAAGGCCUUAGGGUCGUAAAGCUCUUUCGCCAGAGAUGAUAAUGACAGUAUCUGGUAAAGAAACCCCGGCUAACUCCGUG